GAUGAAGAACGCAGCGAAAUGCGAUAAGUAAUGUGAAUUGCAGAAUUCAGUGAAUCAUCGAAUCUUUGAACGCACAUUGCGCCCCCUGGUAUUCCGGGGGGCAUGCCUGUCCGAGCGUCAUUACAACCCUCAAGCUCAGCUUGGUGUUGGGCCCCGCCGCCCCGGCGGGCCCUAAAGUCAGUGGCGGUGCCGUCCGGCUCCGAGCGUAGUAAUUCUUCUCGCUCCGGAGGUCCGGUCGUGUGCUCGCCAGCAACCCCCAAUUUUUUUCAGGUUGACCUCGGAUCAGGUAGGGAUACCCGCUGAACUUAAGCAUAUCAAUAAGCGGAGGA
rnacentral:misc_RNA from 1 species